UGAUGAGGACAGGAAGCCGGACACUGUUUGUGUGUGAUUAAACUCCGAGCCUCCCAGCUGAGCACCGUGCACGCAGCAAGUGUGCGACCAGCAAGUGUGGGCCCCAGCGAUUUCAGCGCACGGAGUACAGCACCGGGCCAGAGGCACGCAGCACCAGGGCGUGUACACGCGGGUGGAGGUUUGUGUGCGUGCGAGGGCGACCGCAAUGGGACUGUGCAUCUGAUGACACUUGAGGCAGAGGCCGAUGAGAGGGAGCGAAAGCAGAAAUAGCCAGGAACCCCACCCAGGCCUGUGUGCAUUAUGAUGGGGCCGGGGGGCCCCCCUGGAACUCUUACAAGACAGUCCUGCCCAGCGGGCUCCCGACCAAGAACCCAGCACUAGCCAAUAUAUAUGACAACAGAGUAUAUUUUUGACAUAUUAUACAUUCGUGGAGUACAACUUACUCUAAUUUGGAUCCCAUUCUUAUGGUUGUAUAUGGUGAGGAGUUUCACUGGUGGUGUAUUCAUAUACUUCCAGAAUGAAUAAAUGGACGAAUGCUUUA